UACGGAGAGGGCGAGUGUUAUUCAUAGUGAUUGGGCGUAAAGGGCGCGUAGACGGCCAUUUAAACUUUUGACUAAAAAACCACGGCGCAACUGUGGUCGGCAAAAGUAUUGUUUGGCUACGAAUUUGGUGGAAGUUAGCAGUACUUUCAGAGUAAAGGUAGCAAUUAUCGAUCCUGAGAGGACUCUCAAUAGCGAAGGCAGCUAACUAUGGCAGAUUGACGUUGAGGCGCGGAGGUAUGGGUAUCAAACAGG
rnacentral:rRNA from 1 species